rnacentral:lncRNA from 1 species
UUCCAUUCAGGUUGCCCCCCAAUCUCCCUUCCGCUUCUCUGUGUUCCUAUGUUAAUGGUGUCCAAACUGCAGCUCCCAGUAGCAGACCCUGCAACAAAAUCCAACAACUCAAACUGAGAAAAGGGAAGAGAAAGAACUGUGAAAGGUUAGAGAGAUCGCUAUAGUAUUUCAUUUGGGAUUAAUUCUAACUUUCUUUUCUUUAUCAAAUAAUAGUAUACCUUGGUUGAUGAAACUUAGGAGUAGGAUGAUGAUUGCUGCAAUCAUGGUGGAGAGGUUGAUGAUAGCUGAAGGAAAUUUUGUGCUGGCAGGGAGUGGUUUUGAGAUAAGUGGGUUUAGAAACCAAAUUUCUUUGUUUUUUGUUUUUAUUACUUUAUCUUGGAA